GGGGUGCACUCAGAGCAGGGGACCUGAGGAAAUGACUCCUCUGUUUACAACACACCCAACAGGAAUCUGGGUUCAUUGUGACGAGGGGCACAAAACUUGAGGCCUUUCUAUGAACACAUACCCUACACGU
rfam:Camelus ferus unplaced genomic scaffold scaffold539, whole genome shotgun sequence.